AAAUGACUCCAUCUGAUGACUUGAAGCGAAUGGCUUUUGCUGCCUUGUGUGGUCACAUUUUUACAAAUUGAAAGGAAUCCUUGAUAAAUCAUAUGUGUGAAAAGAUGCCCCUUUGGCCAAUCCAUUUCACAAUGACACCAUGCCUGUGUAAACUCAGCCUACUAGACCCAUAUGAACCUUCUGUCAUCUUAAUGAUUAGCCUCAUUAACUACUCUGCAUUGUUUUACUAUUUAGAAGAGUAUAUUAUACCCCGUUAUCUAUGUAUGCAAGCAAACAAAUGCCAUUCUGCUCAUUCUUCAUCUCAUUCACUGGUCGUUGUGGCUGUUGUGCUGUAGUGGCUGUGCUGUGUGUUUUGCUAACUAUCUUUUGUAUCAGGACUAUGCAGCAACUUCUACUGGUGUUGGCAAUUAGAGAAAAAAAAAAAACGGUCAAAAUUGUUCUGAAAGCUAACAAACCCAGUCUUGCCCCAGUCUUGCAGUAAGUUGGACCAAAUUACGAUUAUGAGUUAAUUUUCCAGGCAGGGUUUGACUAUGCCUUAAUGUGAAUUUUGAUGCAAGUGUUGCAUUGAGACAGAGUGACCUUUGACAAUGGAAGGGAUGCUUUGUGUCAAACCUUGGCCCCACAAGACACCACCUGACUUUGGUGGUAAAACCUGGGCUUAAGCUCAGUGGGCUAACAUACCCUUGUGGCGCACAGGAAACCCGGGUUUGAACUCAGGUCGGUCACAUGAGGGAUAUGAUGUGUAGGUUAUAGAGUUUGUUGUCCAAAGGUUUAGGCCUGUAUUGCAGUUGGGCACAAUUGAACUAUUAUCUAAGAUCAUAGUUCAACAUAAAAACUUGAUUUAAAAAAAAAUCUAAGAUAAAUCAAUGUUUUUUAUAUCAGGGUCUUCAAAAAAAACGUAAACAAAUCUGAAGUUCUUGGAAAUUAAGUAUUUCCACUUGAUGAAGGCCAAUACAGGUUGCUGAAUAGUCAUAAUUAUUUUGCAAAGCUUGUUAUUGACUCACAAUAAAAAUAUAAAAACUGUAAUAAUGGUAUCUAAUGUCACUGACGGGCAAAUGUGAUGGAUUUUUUUAAUGUUGUAAAUGCAUGCCAAAUGAGUGUGUGAACAAAUAUGUUAUAGCAUCAACGUAUUGUUAGGGGUUCAUUCUAUAUAGAAAAAGCUUUUUCUUUUUAAUAUGCUGAUAUUUGAUAUUUCUUUUUCUAAGGAAUCCUUUGUAAAAUUUCAUUUAUCUAUUUUGUACAGGAUUUCAUAAUUGUAAACAUUGUAAAUAGUUCUGCAUACUGUACGCGACAACAAUCAUUAAGGAAAACAAAUAACUCCAUAAAGGCCAAUUACAAGAUUAAUAACUUAUCACUCCAGAGAUGAGCCCAAUACAUGGAGAGGUAGGCAUGCUUCUGAAAUGACAUUUUCAUCCACCUAUCGCUGUUCGUUCCAGUCAAUAAAAUCAUGUCAUAUAUGAUUUGUCUCAUAAUUGCGAAAAUACUUCCUUUUAAAAUUAUGAAUACAAUUUUGCAAUCAAAGAGUGCUUGAGACCUUUAAGAGCGGUCAGUGUGCAUUUGGGUUGUGGCCUAACCAUCAUAUCUGUGUAUAUAAGAGUAAUUUAUCAGAACAAACACAUCAGUGAACUGGAAACUGAGUGAAACACAGGGUAAACCCCCCUGCUCACCUAGGCUACUGUAUAUGGCAGGGGUGUCAAACUCAUUUUGGCCCGGGGGCCGCAUUCGUUUUUCAUCAAGGUCCGAAGGGCCACACUGAAAAUUGGUUAUAUUUCCUUGCCGUCAAAAUUUGUGAAAAUUCGUCCUCUAUCGUUUUUGGAAUAUAUAAUGCUCCCUGACUGUCUAGCUUUCAUUUCAGUGAUUAUUAGCUGGCUGGACACAGUCAAGAAACUGUAUGGAUGUACAGUUGGUCCAUUAUCAGUUCUACAUAGUUUUCAUUUGGUUUUAGUCAUUUUUAAAAUAUAUUUAGUUCACCCCCCCACACACAUGUUUUUGGGGUAAAUAUACAUAAAGCUUUUAUAUAGAUAUAUUUUUUACAAACCACCCGUGGGCCGGUUGGACCCCCUCUCGGGCCUAAUCGUCC
rnacentral:lncRNA from 8 species